rnacentral:lncRNA from 1 species
CUCCGCCCUCAGCUCUGGACGAGGCUCGGCUGGUCCUGAGGAAAGUGCAGAGACAGAGGAAAGUCCUGGAGGAGAAUCUGGAGUCUCAGCUCCGAGCCAGGUCUGCAGAACUGCUGCACUGUCGCCUGGACGCCCUGAAGGAGAACAGAGACUGCUCCGCUGAGAUCCGCAUGAAGAAAGCUGUGGACUCGUUCAUCAGAGACAUCCAGGCCGAGACGGAGGCGGAGUCUGCGACUACAAAGGCCAAUAGGAAGGCAGCGACGGGCAGGAGAAACCCGCCCCCCAGACCAAUAAGAACACAGCAGAGAGGAGAAACCCCGCCCCCUCCGGCAGACCGCUCCGGACCGACGCCAAAGCGGUGAGACUUUAAUCUGUCUGCCGCUUCCCCUCCCUCUAAAAACAUGUACAAUAGGUGAAUCCUCCAGCAGGUGAGGAGUUAGUCGGCACAUUCCUCAUGUUUAGAGUCACAUGUCAAGGUCAGU